UACAAGCAUAUCGCUCCUUUCCAGU
rnacentral:piRNA from 1 species